rnacentral:rRNA from 1 species
UUUAUUGAGAGUUUGAUCCUGGCUCAGGACGAACGCUGGCGGCGUGCCUAACACAUGCAAGUCGAGCGAAUGAAAUUCCUUCGGGAAUGGAUUUAGCGGCGGACGGGU